rnacentral:rRNA from 1 species
UGGGGAAUCUUCCGCAAUGGACGAAAGUCUGGCGGAGCAACGCCGCGUGAGAGAAGAAGGUUUUCGGAUUGUAAAUCUCUGUCUUUUGGGACGAAUGUCAUGCAUGUAAAUAAUGUGUGUGAAUGACGGUACCAGAGGAGGAAGCCACGGCUAACUACGUGCCAGCAGCCGCGGUAAUACGUAGGUGGCAAGCGUUGUCCGGAAUUAUUGGGCGUAAAGCGCGCGCAGGCGGGAAUCUAAGUCUGUCUUAAAAGUGCGGGGCUCAACCCCGUGAUGGGAUAGAAACUGGGUUUCUUGAGUGCAGGAGAGGACAGUGGAAUUCCCAGUGUAGCGGUGAAAUGCGUAGAUAUUGGGAGGAACACCAGUGGCGAAGGCGACUGUCUGGACUGUGUCUGACGCUGAGGCGCGAAAGCCAGGGAAGUGAACGGGAUUAGAUACCCCGGUAAUCCUGGCCGUAAACGAUGGGUACUAGGUGUUGGGGGUAUC